CCCCCUCAAGAUGAGAUUUCCCAUUCCUAUAAGGAAGUAAGAUCCCUGAAAGAUGAUCAGGUUGAUAGGUCUGAGGUGGAAGUGUGGCGACACAUGGAGCUGACAGAUACUAAUCGAUCGAGGACUUAACCUA
rnacentral:rRNA from 1 species